rnacentral:rRNA from 1 species
GGUCAAGUGAAUAAGCGCAUAGGGUGAAUGCCUAGGCGAUAAGAGGCGAUGAAGGACGUUGUAGGAUGCGAUAAGUCGCGGGGAGUUUUCAAACAAACUUUGAUCCGCGAAUUUCCGAAUGGGGAAACCCAAUCUGCAUAAGCAGAUUAUCUUGCUCUGAAUACAUAGGAGUAAGAGGCGAACCGGGGGAACUGAAACAUCUAAGUACCCCGAGGAAAAGAAAUCAAACGAGAUUCCCUAAGUAGCGGCGAGCGAACGGGGAACAGCCGAGUCUUUUGCGAUAGUGGAACAGUCUGGAAAGUCUGACGAUACAGGGUGAUAGUCCCGUACACGAAAUCAAAAAGGAACGUAUUAAGUAGGGCGAUGCACGUGAAACGUUGUCUGAAGAUAGGGGGACCAUCCUCUAAGGCUAAAUACUACUUAUCGACCGAUAGUGAACUAGUACCGUGAGGGAAAGGCGAAAAGAACCCCGGAGAGGGGAGUGAAAUAGAUCCUGAAACCCUAUGCGUACAAGCAGUAGGAGCGGACUUGUUCCGUGACUGCGUACCUUUUGUAUAAUGGGUCAGCGACUUAAUCUUAGUGGCAAGCUUAACCGAGAAGGGGAGGCGUAGCGAAAGCGAGUCUUAAUAGGGCGUUUAGUCGCUAGGAUUAGACCCGAAACCGGGCGAUCUAUCCAUGGCCAGGUUGAAGGUGGGGUAAUACCUACUGGAGGACCGAACCCACGUAUGUUGAAAAAUGCGGGGAUGAGCUGUGGAUCGGAGUGAAAGGCUAAUCAAGCCCGGAGAUAGCUGGUUCUCCUCGAAAUCUAUUUAGGUAGAGCCUCGUGUAUAACUGUUGGGGGUAGAGCACUGUUACGGCUAGGGGGUCAUCCCGACUUACCAAACCGUUGCAAACUCCGAAUACCAACAAGUUUUAGCACGGGAGACACACGGCGGGUGCUAAGGUCCGUCGUGAAAAGGGAAACAGCCCAGACCGUCAGCUAAGGUCCCAAAAUCACUACUCAGUGGGAAACGAUGUGAAAAGGCCCAGACAGCCAGGAGGUUGGCUUAGAAGCAGCCAUCCUUUAAAGAAAGCGUAAUAGCUCACUGGUCGAGUCGGUUUGCGCGGAAGAUUUACCGGGGCUAAGUAGUGUACCGAAGCUACGGAUCGACGUUAAUUUAUUAACGGAGGUGGUAGAGGAGCGUUCCGUAAGCCUGCGAAGGUCAAUUGAGAAGUUGGCUGGAGGUAUCGGAAGUGCGAAUGCUGACAUGAGUAACGAUAAAGGGGGUGAAAAACCCCCUCGCCGAAAACCCAAGGUUUCCUGCGCAACGUUAAUCGACGCAGGGUUAGUCGGAACCUAAGGCGAGGCCGAAAGGCGUAGUCGAUGGAAAACAGGUUAAUAUUCCUGUACUUGUUAUAACUGCGAUGGGGUGACGGAGCAGGCUAGAUCAGCUUACGGUUGGAAAUGUAAGUUUAAGCGUGUAGGGAGAGAGUUUAGGUAAAUCCGGACUCUUGUUAAUUCUGAGACGUGAUGACGAGUUUCUCCUCGUGAGAGACGAAGUGAUUGAUGCCAUACUUCCAAGAAAAACCUCUAAGCUUCAGGUUAUAACGACCCGUACCCCAAACCGACACAGGUGGGUGGGAUGAGAAUUCUAAGGCGCUUGAGAGAACUCGGCUGAAGGAACUAGGCAAAAUUGUACCGUAACUUCGGGAGAAGGUACGCCUUUUGUAGGUGAAGCGACUUGCUCGUGGAGCUGAAGAAGGCAGCAUUAAAUUGGUGGCUGCGACUGUUUAUCAAAAACACAGCACUCUGCAAACUCGCAAGAGGAAGUAUAGGGUGUGACGCCUGCCCGGUGCCGGAAGGUUAAUUGAUGGGGUUAUCUUCGGAAAAGCUCUUGAUCGAAGCCCCGGUAAACGGCGGCCGUAACUAUAACGGUCCUAAGGUAGCGAAAUUCCUUGUCGGGUAAGUUCCGACCUGCACGAAUGG